GUUUAGACAAUUCAAAUACAUAAUCUAAUUUUAAUUUCCUUUAAUUUUUAGUCAUGUAACUAAUACUUAUUAAACUUAUUUUAGCAUGAUUUAGUACUUUUAAAUUAUGAUCAUUUUCAUUAUGACUUGUUAAUUUGCAAUAUUUGUUUUACGCGAUUUCAUUAAUAUUAUUUUUUUGUUGGAUAUUUUAGUGUCAUUACUUAUAUCAUAUUUUGUGUUAUUUUCUUAAGAAACACCUUAGAUAGUAGUAUUUUGGUAGGACUAAGGAAAUAUUUGAAGUACAAGUAAAUUAUAUGUUUGUAUGAAUACUUUACCGGAGAAACCCAAAAAUCCGAAAAACUCAAAAAAAUCCGAUAAAACCCGAGGUUGAAAAACCCGAGUUUUAUUGGUUUGGUUUGGUUUAUAGAUUUAAAAAUCCGACACAAAUGGUUUGGUGUGAUAUUUGAAAAACCCGAACCAACCCGACCAUGUACACCCCUACAUCCAACAUUCUCAAUAUUAAAUGCUCUUUAGAUUUUCCUUGUUGAGGGGAAGCAACAUGUACAAGACCCUUGACAUGGUUGUGGUAAAUCCAAAUUGCAAUUGCUUGUAUUAUCCAUUUGAAUCUCACCUAAUUCACUAGAUGAUGAAUUAUUAGUAGUAUAAGUAGAAGAUAGUGAAGAUGCAUCUUUUAAAGGACCCCAACAAUCCACUUUGUUGAAUUCUUGUAUGUUUGAGUGAAAAUAUACCCAAACCAAAGCUUCUUCCAACUCUGGAUAAUUCUUUAGCAAAUUCUCAUCUCCAUGAACAAAUGCUUUCAAAACCUAGAACAUAUGCAAAAAGAAU
rnacentral:lncRNA from 1 species